UACAGAGGCCCCAAGCAUUAUCCGGAAUCACUGGGCGUAAAGGGUGUGUAGGCGGUUGUGUUAGUCUUUUGUAAAAGCUCUUGGGCUUAACCCAGGAAAUGCAAAAGAAACGGCACGACUUUGAGGAUGUGAGAGGUACAGGGAACUCAUGGUGUAGGGGUGAAAUCCGUUGAUAUCAUGGGGAACACCAAAUGCGAAGGCACUGUACUGGCACACUCCUGACGCUGAGACACGAAAGCGUGGGAAUCGAACGGG
rnacentral:rRNA from 1 species